rnacentral:sRNA from 1 species
AUAUUGGGUCAGCAUUUUAGACAUAGUAUAUAGGCCCAUACUGCAUCUUUGGAUCAGCGAUGGACCACGUAUGACAGUGGUCCCGUGAGAUUAUAAUCCUCUAUUUUUGCUGUGUUUUUCCUAUGUUUAGAUACACAAACAUUUGCUAUUGUUAGAAUUGCCUGUAGUAUUCAGUACUGUAACAUGCUGUAUAGGUCGGUAGUCUAGGAACAAUAGGCUACACCACAGAGCCUAGGUGUACAGGAGGCGCCACCAUCCAGGUGUGUGUAAGUGCACUCUAGAAUGUUCACACAAUAGCACAAUCGCCUAAUGAUGGCGUUUUUCAGAGUGCGCCCUCGUUGUUAAAGCUUAGUUGUAAUGUUACUUUGCUAACCCCUUCCCCGGUUGAUCAGCACGUAGGUUGCUUGGAUUUUCUUCAUGCUCACAGGUGUGUGUUAGUCAACAUUCAGCCAGUGUUUUUGGAGCAGCUAUUGGUGCCUGGUGGUUUCUCAGGGCUGAGGAUACAGCAGUGGCAAAAGUCAGCCAUCUCUGCCUUCUUGGAGUUUCUAGUUGGAGGGAGAGAGUAGUGUGAAGCCUCUGUCCAGAGGGUGGGCCUGCUGGUGGGAAGGCCUGUCACUGUGGUGACCGUGUGAGGUGACGGCUGGGAGGUGGCUUGAGAGCUGGUGAGUGGGUCUGUCUGCUCUGGUUGCCAUGGCUGAGGCUCAGCCCACUUCCCCAGGGCCUGCCCUCCACGGAUGACUGGGGACGGACGGUCUCCUUACGGCCGCAUUCUGUCCCUGCCCGCCUGUGUUCUUGCCGUUGGCUCAGAACUCCCUCUCCCAGCCUCUCCUGGUGUCGUCACACCCCAGGCUCCCUGCACCCUUCUGUGACCUGCCUGUCAUCCCAGCCCGCUCUCCUUGGGCUGACCCUGGGCUGCAGGGAACAGGAUGGGUGUCGGCCGGUCUGUCCCACACAGCUAGCUGACGAGGUGGUUUCUGGGGCAGGAGUGGAGGCAGCACAGACAGUGAGGACGAAGAAGAGGAGGACGAGGAGGAGGAGGAAGACGAGGAGGGCAUUGGCUGUGCAGCCCGUGGAGGGGCCAACCCCCUGUCCUACCCCAGCCCUGGCCCUCAGCCUCCAGGCCCCAGCUGGACAGCCACCUUUGACCCAGUGCCUACAGAUGCCCCGACCAGCCCCCGAGUCUCCGGGGAGGAAGAGCUGCACACUGGGCCUCCAGCCCCACAGGGGCCCCUCAGUGUGCCCCAGGGCCUCCCCACUCAGAGCCUGGCCAGCCCUCCUGCCCGUGAUGCCCUGCAGCUCAGGUCUCAGGACCCCACACCCCCCUCAGCACCUCAGGAAGCCACAGAAGGCAGCAAAGUCACGGAGCCCUCAGCCCCUUGCCAGGCCUUGGUUAGCAUCGGGGACCUUCAGGCCACCUUCCACGGGAUCCGUUCUGCCCCCAGCUCCUCGGACAGUGCAACCAGAGACCCCUCUACCUCUGUCCCAGCCUCCGGGGCCCACCAGCCCCCCCAGACCACAGAAGGGGAGAAGAGCCCAGAGCCCUUGGGGCUUCCCCAAAGCCAGAGUGCCCAGGCCCUCACGCCUCCUCCGAUACCCAAUGGCUCUGCCCCGGAAGGGCCUGCAUCCCCAGGCUCCCAAUAGCUGCCUGGUGCGGCAGCGGCGGCCAAAUCUUCCGUCCUCCCAUGGAUCUCCCGGGGUGGGGGCAGGGCGGGUCCCACGAUGGCCCCCAUUGCCCUCAUCACCCUGACACCCCCACAUUCUCUCCUCUGGACCCCCAGGAGGCUGGUGCCAGGGAGACAGGCCCAACCCACCCCCAUUUGCACUGAGAAGAGAAGUUUUGGAGCGUUGCCUCCUAGAAUAAAGAUACAGAGAGUCAAAUAGAGAGAAUGGAGAGAGAGAAACAUAUAUUAUAUAUUAUAUAGAGAGAGGGAGGAGAGCGAGAGAGAGUGAGGACACCGAACUGGGCUGGCGGCUCCAAAGCACAGCCUUCCCUGUUCCGUCCCAGCGGGAGCUGGUGUUAGGGGUCCCAAGGUUGCCACCCACGUGCCCAGCUGUCCCACGCUGCAGCGCAGACGGCCACGCCCACACCCGGCCUUUUAGCUCAGGUCCACCAUGGGGGACGGCCCAGCGUGGGUGGGGGUGCCAGAGGGUCCCGAGUGGGGGCCGUGCCUUUGCCCAGACCCUGCACUUUCAACCAGGCCAGUCCGGCUCUGGGGAGCAGGGGCCUCCCCGGCAACACCCCCAGGGGCCUUGAGGGUCUGAGGUCCCAGCCCUGUUGCCAAGUGGCCUUGUCCCCAGCUCCCUCCUCCCAGGCUGGUGUGAGUGUGCGUGCGUUUGUGCCGAGCUUCUAUUUCAUAUUGCAAAUAUAAAUAAAGGAAGGCAGUUUACG